GUUGGGUUUGUCCUUUCCGUGUUCUUCCGUAAUACUCUCUCUCUCUCUCUCCAUCUCUCUAUUUGGAGAGUUAUUUUCCAGUUCAUUCACCAAUUUCACCAACAAAUUCUCUCAAUUGAGAGCGUAAUCACUUUUGCGAUAGCCUACGGUUCGACUCUGUUAUUCGAACACAAGAUCUACCUGGAUCGUAUUACCGAUUCAUAGUUGAAUCUCACGCACUUCAGUAUUGUUUGGUUUCUGAGACCAGACAUUGUCCCUGGACCGGCAAAAGUUGACAGUCCAAGGUUGGAGGGCAGUUGAUCUUGUUCUUGGCAUCUUUGGGAAGAAAACAGUUCAGUCAUUUGAUUAGAUAGAUCUUCUGUUGUGAUUAUUUAAGUGUCUGAGAUGGGGUUUGGCUUAGGUUAUUUAUUAUCGAAGAUAGACAUGGUAUCUACUUCUGAUCAUGCUUCGGUAGUCUCAAUAAACUUAUUUGUGGCGCUUCUAUGUACGUGUAUUGUGCUCGGGCAUCUGUUGGAGGAGAACCGUUGGAUGAAUGAGUCCAUUACAGCCCUAUUAAUUGGACUCUGCACUGGAAUUGUUAUUCUUCUAACCAGCGGAGGAACAAAUUCACAUCUUUUAGUUUUCAGUGAAGAUCUUUUCUUUAUAUACCUUCUUCCACCUAUCAUCUUUAACGCAGGGUUCCAGGUAAAGAAGAAGCAAUUUUUUCGUAACUUCAUGACUAUCACCCUGUUUGGUGCAAUUGGUACUCUGAUAUCCUUUGUCAUCAUUUCAUUUGGAGCUAUGAACUUCUUCAAGAACAUGAAUAUUGGUAGCCUCGAGAUAGCAGAUUAUUUUGCAAUUGGAGCUAUAUUUUCCGCAACAGAUUCUGUUUGCACAUUGCAGGUGCUGAAUCAGGAUGAGACGCCUCUUCUAUACAGUCUAGUUUUCGGGGAAGGGGUUGUGAAUGAUGCAACAUCAGUUGUGCUUUUCAAUGCAAUUCAGAGCUUUGAUGUAUCUCAUAUCAAAACAAGCAUAGUUUUGCAGUUUGUCGGCAAUUUCUUAUAUCUGCUUUUGUCAAGCACUGUGUUGGGAGUUGUAGCUGGAUUGCUUAGUGCAUACAUCAUCAAAAAGCUUUAUUUUGGCAGACACUCUACUGAUCGUGAGGUUGCACUUAUGAUGCUCAUGGCUUACCUUUCGUAUAUGCUCGCUGAAUUAUUCUAUUUAAGUGCCAUUCUUACUGUUUUCUUUUGCGGAAUUGUGAUGUCCCAUUACACCUGGCAUAAUGUCACCGAGAGUUCAAGAGUUACAACCAAGCAUGCUUUUGCAACAUUGUCAUUUGUUUGUGAGAUAUUUAUCUUUCUUUAUGUUGGUAUGGAUGCAUUGGACAUUGAAAAGUGGAGAUUCGUAAGCGACAGCCCUGGUACGUCAAUUGUGGUGAGCUCAAUACUGAUGGGACUGGUUUUGAUUGGAAGAGCAGCCUUCGUUUUCCCAUUAUCGUUUAUAUCCAAUUUGACCAGGAAGACGCCGUAUGAGAAAAUUGGCAUAAAGCAGCAAGUUACCAUUUGGUGGGCAGGUCUUAUGAGAGGUGCUGUUUCUAUGGCCCUCGCGUAUAAUCAGUUUACAAGGGGAGGCCAUACCCAGUUACGUGGGAAUGCAUUCAUGAUCACAAGUACCAUCACGGUUGUUUUGUUCAGCACAGUGGUGUUUGGUUUGUUGACUAAACCUUUGGUUAGACUCUUGCUGCCUUCACCAAAGCAGUUAAGCAGAGCGCUCUCCUCGGAGCCCACAACUCCCAAAUCCUUCAUCGUGCCACUUCUUUCCAAUGGCCAGGAUUCAGAAGUAGAUCUGGCUCCCCACGUGCCUCGCCCAUCCAGCUUGCGGAUGCUCCUAGCCGCCCCCACUCAUUCUGUCCAUUAUUAUUGGCGCAAAUUCGACAAUGCGUUCAUGCGGCCCGUUUUUGGUGGGCGGGGCUUUGUACCUGUCAUUCCGGGUUCACCGCCUUAUCAAAGUGCACAGGAAUUGGACUAAGAAAGCAUCCAGAAAUGAGAUUACAGAACCAAUUCCUCGGCGUUUGGUGGGAUAUGUGAUCGUUCGGCUGUCGAUUUGAGGCUGUUAUUUGUUGAUAUCUCAGUGUCACUCUUUGGGGGUGCCAGCAAGGGCAUCUUACGUAUAAUGUAUUAAAUGUAUUUUAUCCAACAUGGGAGAUGGGAGGUUGCGCUUUCAGUUCAAAUUUCUCAGGGUUCAGUUAUCCAUCAAAGAGAGUUACACAGGUCUCCGGCUAUUCUUGGAUCUUGCAUUUGCGCAGGGAUUUGCGGAAAGAAAAAGAAAAUGCAAGGAAGAUCCAAACGAAGCCUUAAACAUCCAAGCAGUUUCAAACUUAAGUAAUACACACUCCUCCGUCCCUAACGGUGUAGGAGGUAUCCGAGUGUAAGACUGACUUGUGCAACCAAGCAAACAAAAAGGAGAGGGAAGUAGACUUGAACCGGUCUUCUGCCCACAAUGUUCUUCCUUAACCGUGCCUGCAAAAAUUAAAUGAGAAGUCAAAACUAUGGAACAAGAAUGAAGUGGUCUUUGAUUCAUAUUGAUAAUUUAUUGUUGAUGCUAUAUAUGAGUUGAUAUAUAUGAGUCGAUGAUUAAC